GGGGGUGUGGCUCAGUUGGUAGAGCGUUCGCUUAGCAUAUCUGCUUCGAGUAUAUGCGAAAGGUCCUGAGUUCGAUUCUUAGCUCCUCCA